UUUACUCCUUGCUUGCGUGAGUUUUUAGACGCGCACGUGAAAUCGUCUGUUCAUCCGACUUUACUUGUACCGUUCUUCUGUUUUUUCGGAGAAUCGAUCAUCAUCGUAAUUACAGGGCUUCCACGUUACAGUACUUCUCUCAUGGACAAUGAUUUUUUGCAAAUUCGCCGUUACAUGCGCGACGUUAUCUUCGGCAAGUUGAGAAGCAGAAUCCCUUUCCGUCUGAUGAUGGAUCAAAGGCCAAGUGUUUAGAUGCUGCUAAACGCUUAGAGGAGGGACUUUAUAUAAUGGCUAUGACAAAGGAGGAGUACUCAGGCCCGGCCCUUGACAUAUCCUUAUGAUACAUUCGUAUCGGGCCUCAAAAUAAAAGCCCAAUUAUUUUUUCUUUUGUAAUGCUUAAGAAAGCCUG